rnacentral:lncRNA from 1 species
UGGUCUUGAUUUUUUAUGAAAAUAAACGCUUUUAAAAUUUAGUUACCAAUCAAAUUCUUGUGUUCAUUUGUUUUGUUUUUUUUUUUGUUAAUAUACAGAAAAAUGCUAAAGUUGUUUCUAUUGAUGGUUACGAAGAUGUUAAUACCUAUGAUGAGUUAGCACUGAAAAAGGCUGUUGCAAAUCAGCCCGUGAGCGUAGCUGUUGAAGGAGGAGGCAGGGAAUUUCAAUUAUAUUCAUCUGUAAGUUUCUAAAUUGAUUCUGUUAAUCACUUAGAAAAGGAAGGUGUGUGUCUAUUGCAUAGAAGUAGAAUGGGAAUAUCCAAAGUUAUAACACCACCAAACCAUAUUUGUCUAAUAAUAAACAUUCAUGGUUGAUUUCUUAUAUAAAAUUCUCUAGGGUAUUUCAUCUUCAAAGCCUGAGUCUAGGGCACAUGAUUGUGAUUGUGCAACAGUAAAUUAUGUUUUGAAUGUUUUAAUUCAAAAUCAAGUUUGGAACUACAAGCCAUUUUUGAUAAAAACGAAAGUUUCUUAACAUAAUACUCUUUCUCCCUAUCCAAUUUUAUCCAAAAUUAGUUUUGUAAUAUUAAUUUAUGGUUCCAACCAAAAUGCCUUAUUAGUAUUUUUUUCAUUUAUUGUCAUUGUUACUUGAUACAAAUACUAGAUGUUCAUCAAUCAUGUAUCUUUUGUCAGGGUGUCUUCACUGGAAGAUGUGGAACAGCUCUAGAUCAUGGUGUUGUGGCUGUUGGAUAUGGUACAGACAAUGGUCAUGAUUUUUGGAUUGUGAGGAAUUCAUGGGGUGCUGAUUGGGGAGAGGAAGGGUACAUCAGAUUGGAAAGAAAUCUGGGUAACAGCAGAUCAGGAAAGUGUGGAAUUGCGAUCGAGCCAUCUUAUCCCAUUAAGACUGGUCAAAACCCACCCAAUCCUGGACCAUCACCCCCUUCACCCGUGAAGCCACCAAAUGUUUGUGACAAUUACUACAGCUGUUCAGAUUCUGCCACUUGCUGCUGCAUUUUCGAGUUUGGAAAAACCUGUUUUGAGUGGGGUUGCUGUCCUCUUGAAGGUGCUACCUGCUGUGAUGACCACUACAGUUGCUGCCCCCAUGACUAUCCCAUCUGCAACACUUAUGCUGGAACUUGUCUCAGGGUAUGAUUAAGACCAUCUAAUGUUUUCUUACAUGCUUGUAUUUUGAACUGAGUUUUCAGGUUGAACUAACCAUUUGCAUUUACUACUCAAUCAUUUGUACUAGGAGAAAAAAUUGAAACAAACUUUUCCAUAAACUAAUUAUAGUUUUUGAAAAGUUUUUUUUUUUUUUUCAUUUUUUCUUAAUUUUUCCUACCAUGCAUACAUAAGAAAAAGCUUUUGCCCACAUGUUCUUGCACUCUUGAGGUUUCUUUCUUCAGAUUGCAUUAACUGAGUAUGGUUUCUUGAGACUGCACCAUUUGAGUUUUUUUUGGAUUGCAUCUGAUCUUCUUUUUUAACAUUUGUUACAACUUUAAUACAAUCUAAGAUAAAUUUGAUGAAACCUGAAGGAAUGCGUUGUUGUAAUUUACUCAUUAUUGUAUCAUGUACUUAUCAUCUGAAUUUUUUGUGAAUGACAGAGC